UACCUGCAGCUCUAGUGGUGGCCGCUAUUAUUGGGCCUAAAACGUCCGUAGCCGGUUUGGUAAAUGCCUGGGUAAAUCGUGUAGCUUAACUAUACGAAUUCUUGGUAGACUACCAAACUUGAGACCGGGAGAGGCUAGAGGUACUCUUGGGGUAGAGGUGAAAUUCUGUAAUCCUGAGGGGACCACCAGUGGCGAAGGCGUCUAGCUAGAACGGGUCUGACGGUGAGGGACGAAGCCCUGGGGCACAAACCGGAUUAGAUACCCCCGUA
rnacentral:rRNA from 1 species